UACGUAGGGGGCUAGCGUUAUCCGGAUUUACUGGGCGUAAAGGGUGCGUAGGUGGUUUUUUAAGUCAGGAGUGAAAGGCUACGGCUCAACCGUAGUAAGCUCUUGAAACUGGGAAACUUGAGUGCAGGAGAGGAAAGUGGAAUUCCUAGUGUAGCGGUGAAAUGCGUAGAUAUUAGGAGGAACACCAGUAGCGAAGGCGGCUUUCUGGACUGUAACUGACACUGAGGCACGAAGGCCAGGGGAGCAAACGGG
rnacentral:rRNA from 1 species